rnacentral:rRNA from 1 species
CCGACUUCAGGUACCCCAGACUUCCAUGGCUUGACGGGCGGUGUGUACAAGGCCCGGGAACGUAUUCACCGCGCCAUGGCUGAUGCGCGAUUACUAGCGAUUCCAGCUUCAUAGGGUCGAGUUGCAGACUCCAAUCCGAACUGAGACCGGCUUUCGAGAUUCGCAUCCUGUCACCAGGUAGCUGCCCUCUGUACCGGCCAUUGUAUUACGUGUGUGGCCCAAGACGUAAGGGCCGUGAUGAUUUGACGUCAUCCCCACCUUCCUCUCUACUUGCGUAGGCAGUCCCAACAGAGUCCCCAACUGAAUGAUGGCAACUGUUGGCAGGGGUUGCGCUCGUUGCAGGACUUAACCUAACACCUCACGGCACGAGCUGACGACAACCAUGCAGCACCUUGAAAAUUGCCCGAAGGAGGAUCUAUUUCUAAAUCUGUCAAUUCCCAUUUAAGUCUUGGUAAGGUUCCUCGCGUAUCAUCGAAUUAAACCACAUAAUCCACCGCUUGUGCGGGCCCCCGUCAAUUCCUUUGAGUUUCAUCCUUGCGGACGUACUCCCCAGGUGGCUAACUUAUCACUUUCGCUUGGUCUCUGAACCCGAAGAUCCAAAAACGAGUUAGCAUCGUUUACGGCGUGGACUACCAGGGUAUCUAAUCCUGUUCGCUCCCCACGCUUUCGUCCAUCAGCGUCAGUUAAAUCUUAGUGACCUGCCUUCGCAAUCGGUGUUCUAAGUAAUAUCUAUGCAUUUCACCGCUACACUACUUAUUCCAGCCACUUCAAAUUUACUCAAGGCCUGCAGUAUCAAUGGCAGUUUCAUAGUUAAGCUAUGAGAUUUCACCACUGACUUACAGGCCCGCCUACGGACCCUUUAAACCCAAUAAAUCCGGAUAACGCUCGCACCCUCCGUAUUACCGCGGCUGCUGGCACGGAGUUAGCCGGUGCUUAUUCGUACAGUACCUUCAGCUGCCCUCACGAGGGCAGGUUUAUCCCUGUACAAAAGAAGUUUACAAUCCAUAGGACCGUCAUCCUUCACGCGGGAUGGCUGGAUCAGGCUUCCACCCAUUGUCCAAUAUUCCUCACUGCUGCCUCCCGUAGGAGUCUGGUCCGUGUCUCAGUACCAGUGUGGGGGAUCUCCCUCUCAGGACCCCUAAAGAUCAUCGACUUGGUGGGCCGUUACCCCGCCAACUAUCUAAUCUUGCGCGUGCCCAUCUCUAUCCGCCGAGGCUUUCAAUGGCGACCGAUGCCGGACACCAUAUUAUGGGGUAUUAAUCUUCCUUUCGAAAGGCUAUCCCCCAGAUAAAGGCAGGUUGCACACGUGUUACGCACCCGUACGCCGCUCUCUGGAUAGCAAGCUAUCCAUACCGCUCG